ACUCCUACGGGAGGCAGCAGUGGGGAAUAUUGCACAAUGGGGGAAACCCUGAUGCAGCCAUGCCGCGUGUGUGAAGAAGGCCUUCGGGUUGUAAAGCACUUUCAGUAGGGAGGAAGGUAGUGUAGUUAACACCUGCACUAUUUGACGUUACCUACAGAAGAAGCACCGGCUAACUCCGUGCCAGCAGCCGCGGUAAUACGGAGGGUGCGAGCGUUAAUCGGAAUUACUGGGCGUAAAGCGCAUGCAGGCGGCCUGUUAAGUCAGAUGUGAAAGCCCGGGGCUUAACCUCGGAAUUGCAUUUGAAACUGGCAGGCUAGAGUCUUGUAGAGGGGGGUAGAAUUUCAGGUGUAGCGGUGAAAAUGCGUAGAGAUCUGAAGGAAUACCAAGUGGCGAAGGCGGCCCCCUGGACAAAGACUGACGCUCAGAUGCG
rnacentral:rRNA from 1 species